rnacentral:lncRNA from 1 species
AUGAUCUGUUGUGGUAUGAUGAAACUCUGGAAGAUUGGUAGUGAUUUGACUGGCCUCAUAAAGUUUAACUGUGACUUGACCUUGUUCACUAGGAUCCACGGUGGCGUGACCUUGUUCACUAGGAUCCACGGUGGCGUGACCUUGUUCACUAGGAUCCACGGUGGCGUGACCUUGUUCACUAAGAUCCGCGGUGGCGUGACCUUGUUCACUAAGAUCCGCGGUGGCGUGACCUUGUUCACUAAGAUCCGCGGUGGCGUGACCUUGUUCACUAAGAUCCGCGGUGGCGUGACCUUGUUCACUAAGAUCCGCGGUGGCGUGACCUUGUUCACUAAGAUCCGCGGUGGCGUGACCUUGUUCACUAAGAUCCGCGGUGGCGUGACCUUGUUCACUAAGAUCCGCGGUGGCGUGACCUUGUUCACUAAGAUCCGCGGGGACCUGACCUGACUCUGGACGGUCAGCGGGGACCUGACCUGACUCUGGACGGUCAGCGGGGACCUGACCUGACUCUGGACGGUCAGCGGGGACCUGACCUGACUCUGGACGGUCAGCGGGGACCUGACCUGACUCUGGACGGUCAGCGGGGACCUGACCUGACUCUGGAGGCCAUUUUGUGAACCGCCUCCGGGCUGGUAGCCAUUUCGUGGAGAGACUUUGGGGUUUUAAAGUCCUCUGCCUCUCCCACAGUGAAAGGAGAACCACAUAACAAGAGUGCAUAGUGUCCAUAUUGUCUUAGACGGCCAUUAAAUUCCCCUCCAGGUAACCAUGAUUUAAUUGAUUCAUUGAGUCCAAAACGAAACAAGUCCUUAAAGCUUCAUCAUUUAGAGGAACUUGAUAUACUAACUCACAGAACUGCUGAACAUACUCCUCAAUAGAUUGAUCUCCUUGCCGAAGGUGCAGUAGCUGGUCCACUGGGUCAAUGAUAGGGCUAGAUAGUUGACACACUGACCUAGAAUUGGGAACCGACAUCUUGGUAAUGAGAGAAUUCCGGACUGCUGGAUCCUGGUUUGGCGAAGUCUUCUGUUACACUGGAGAGUCAGAGACGUUCGGAUCCAAUUGCAGUAUUUAUUAACAGAGUGGUCAGACAGGUGGAAAUCAGGAAUGGCGUCAGGUAUGUCAGGGGUAACCAGAAUCGAAACCAGAAACAAGCAGAGAUCGGGGCAGGCAGCAGAGAAUCAGAGUCAGAAUACACAAUCCAAAGGUCAGACACGGAAGAACAAACAAAGGGAAACCGCUCGGAUAUGUUAGACGGGGCUAAACAAGACUUCGCAGUGUGAUGGUGUGAGUGUGCUGCUUAUAUGGGUGUGUGUGUAUUAGCUGCAGGUGUGUGUGUGGAAUUAGGUGCAGGUGUGUGUGUGCAAUCAGUCCCAGGAGUGAGGCAGGAUGGGAAAUGGAGUUCUGAAUGAGUCCUGAGUGAGUCCUGAGCUGUCUCAGCUCACAGGCACUCCAGCUAGAGAUCGUGACAGCUGCUUAUUAAUAGUUGGUAAGGUAGUUUUUUCCAAAUUUGUCAGUCUGAAAAAAGAAGAACAAUUCAGUAAAUAAGUUAAUUGUUAUAUUUUAGACACAAUAUUAUGUUUUUGCUCAGUUUUGCAGAGAACAUAUUACCUUUAAAGCCAUAGCAGAAUUGUUUCGCGUCUCCGAGCAGCACAGAGUUGUUUAGUUUCUGAAUGAAUCCACCUUUUGAACGAAUCCUGUGAAUCAAUGGCUGUGUCCCAAAGUUGAGUGUAUGGACUUCGAAGACCAGGCCUCCGAAGUGUGUGAGAUGCUCCGCCUUCACAGGAUUUCCUAAUUCCGCCACCAGGUGUUUCUGAUUACCGCUCUGUCGCAUAGCAAUGGUGAGAGGAGAGCUGAUAUCCUGGCACAUUUAUAAAAGUUAUGGAGCCAGCAUUGUUAAUAUUUGUUUUUAUAUUUUAUGUUUUAAUAGAGGAGAUAGUGGGAAUGUUUCACCCACAGUGGCAUCCGGUGAUGUACCUCAGGCUUAGCCGAGACCAAGGCCAGGUACGUUCCACUGUUUUGCUGUGUCCUUGCCGAAUUACAACUUUAAAUGCAUGUAUUGCGUUUGAACUGACUUGAAUAAUGUAAUGAUACAUAUGAACACACACACACACACAAACACACACACAAAUGCUGACUGAUAUCUUACUAAGGUGCGCUUUUAAAAUAGUUUAUUGUCUUGACCAUGGUUUGCAAUCCUGAUUUUAGGCAGUUAAGCAACCAUAAAAAACUGAGUAAAUAAAAACAAAUGGAGCACUUUUGUUC